ensembl:lncRNA
AAACUCCAGAACCCAAAGCAAAUUUUCCUGCCCGGUACAAGGAGGACAUAUUUUCACUGACUGUUUCCAUGGAAAUAAAUCGGAGGCAUUACUUUUGGAGCAACUAUGCGGCCCAAGAUAAUUUGUCUUGACUCAGUGUGAUCCAGGCAAGCCAAAAGGUUGCACACCCAUGAAAUAAGCCAAGAAAGUACAUUGCUGUCACACAUUCAGCAAGCACGCAUAUCGCUCUUGGUCUUGGUAAGAGCCACUCUCUUUUCCAGUGCUGUGAGUCACUCAGUCUUCACAAGGUUUUGUCCUCUUCACCAGUCACAAAAAAAUAUUUGUUUGGAAUUUGGUAAACUGAAGUGGAAGUGUCCUCGCUGCUGAGAAUUUACACUGGGACCAGAAUGAUGCCUGCUCUUCCCUCACACAAGGAUGCAGAGCCUAUCGAAGGAAGGGAAUUACGAAAUGACAAGCAAUCCUCCAUCAUUUUUGAGGAGAGAAACUCCGUCUGCAAGCUGUGAAAGCAAACUGGUCGUGUGAUUGCUGUCUGAAGGAGUAUCCUUUGAUACCUAUUGAUUCAAUUGAUUUCAUUUUGUGGAAUGGGUUGGAAAGGGCUGAUCUUUGUCUUCUGUCACAAGGACUGGGAAUUAAAUCAUUCUGUCGCCUUGGGCUCUGAUCAUGUUAAUUCCACAGCCAACAGGCAAACAUGGGCAUGGUGCCUGGCACAGUGGUGAUCUGUACUGUCAUUCAGAAGAUGAAACUGUGCGACAUUCACUAGGAGCCAACUGAAAAGUCACCGGAGGCACCCUGUGGCCUUUUCUUUUGAUGCAUAAACAGAUUUUACUGGAAGGGGGGAGAGUUGCCCAUUGCACCAGAUCAACUCUGCUUUUUCACAUCAAUGCUUGGUUGCUGAUGUUGGCCCCUGGCACAGGGCUCUUCAAUUUUCAUCAGACUACUAAGAAUCCCCUCAGUAUUUCAAUGAGAGCAUUUAGGAUACUAAGAUAUAUCUGGUUUGCUUUGGAGUUUUUAUUGUUGUUGCUGAUUUUUUCCAAUCUGUGGAAGGAACUGUCACUAGGAAACCACUGUGGUACGGGAACUGUAUGAAUUCUGCAGUCUUCUUCAUAUCUCUUUAUCAAGUGAUAGAUACAGCCUGUCCACUCCAUUCUUUCCCUUUUUCCUAUUCUGUGACAGCAAAUAAAGACACCAGCUAAAGCCGGUUGUGGAGAUUAGGGCUGUUUUCAGCUCACCUUCUUAGCAAAACAAGGCUUACAUGCUUACUCUGCAUGUAAUCUUAAUGUCUUAUGAACACUUCUAGCCAAUCUCUCCCAAACAUAUCAGAAAAGCUGAGUUGCCAGUACACUUACUUCCUACAUUUUCUUCCAGUUCAGUCAAAAGGAGCAGCCCAAAAAAUCAUCAGCAGCAUUUUUCUGCUGUAAGUGGGAAAGGUAGAAAAACAGCAGGAGAACUUUAUAUUUGCACAAGGAGAUAAUAUAAAUCUCACUUUCAAUCACUUAGUAUCCAUUCACUGAGAGAUGCACAUCCACAAGAAAGGAGGUGCGCAGCAACCCACGUUUUCUUAUGUGAAUACUUGUCAACUAGUAGACAAAUCAAACAAGUCAGUUGGUUCUUUGCAGGCUUACACUUGUGGCAUUGAACUUAAUCAUUCCUAUUUCUGAAUUCUGGUCCUGAGUUUAGGUAAUGAUUUCUUUCUCAGUAGUGACUUUCUGUACUGGUUGAAACAUAAACUACUUAAAUGACUGUACUCAAUACUUAUUUAUUGUCUCUUGCAGAAUUAUCUUUCCCAAACCUUUCUUGAACUAUAAUGUUAAUCUGGGGAGCUCUGGAUGUAGUCCAUCCUGGAUGUCUGCUCCAGAUAAUACAAAAAAACACUGAAUUUUUCAUAAUUCUUUCUAUACAUGCAUGUUGGUUUCUCAGGUAUGUGAUUUAUGGACUCUUUCAGCAUCACUUUCUGCUUUUGAGAAGAUACAGAAAAAAUAGCAGCCCUAAUGCAAGGGGAAGAUGUGAGGAAAAUCAAAAAGCUUUGUGUUCCCAGAGCAGUAAAAAAAUACCUCAAAAUGUUUUUCUUAAGAAAACAGUUUCUGGCAUGACCAGGAUGUUUUCAACUCAACUUUCUUCUACCUUGUUUAUACAGGUGAUCAUCAGUUUUCUUCAGCUUCUGGUCUAUCAGUCUCAGAGGAUAUUUACAGAUCGUAUAAUAUUGAAUUAGAAUCAUGGAAGUGUUAAUGUGCAAUAUAUGCAACAGAAUGGUGGCUACAAAUUAACACUAGUGUCCAAUCCUUCAGAAAAAAUAAUAGAAAUAUGCUACUGCUGAGAUUUAAUGCAAAGUGAAUGAAAAGAAACAGUGACAAUACUUCUCCAUGCUUUCAGAAUUAAGAGGAUUCUAACACUAAUCAAAACCUUUCACACAUUCUUUUUUCCCAUGCUGAAAAUGGAUCAAAGUUUGAAAAUACAACUCAGAGAUUAUUAUGUUUGCAUGCGUAUUUUACAAUCUAUAAACAAGACCUUUACUAAGCAAGCAACUUCUCUAUGGAAAAAGUUCAAUUUCCCAUAAAGAAUUCACGGGAAGAUCUGUAUGUUCAAAAUAUACUUUCUAUUUAUUUCACCCCAGAAAUUCAUCUGACCAAUUUCUUUUCCAGGAAGGGGGAUAAGUGAAAACAUAUGCUUGGUCAUUCUGUAUUUUUUUAACUUCUUGAAUUUCAGCAGUAAGGAGAUUAACUUGACUCAGUAUAAACUAGGGAUGGAAAGAUCUUUGAUGCAGCUGUGAAACUUUCUGCUUCUUUCAGAGCUGAAGGAACACAGCAACAGAGACAUCUGCCACAUCUGCUUCUGUUAUAAAGCAUCAAGUAUAUUGAGGAAGAUAAUGCUUGGUCAUGGUACAUGUUAAUAUCACCUACUGACAAAGCAGGGUUUUCUUAUGUUCAGUUAUGUACACUGACCUGGUAUUAAGUGGAAGGAUCACUGCCCUUUUACAACCUUUUGUACUUGUUCAAUAGCUUUUGAUUCUGUUUGGAGAACCCGUUUCUUGUUAAAAACUUGAGCAACCAAAUCCAUCCUCCUUGAGCAUUGCUGCUCAUAUACCACAGAAUCACCAAAUUCUUGUGGGCUUUCCAAAGCCUUCGUGAGCUAAUGGUGGUCUCCCAUGAUUUCCUUCAAAAUCCGCACAACUGUAAUAAGCCAGAUACCUUAGACUUACAAGGACAGCAUUCACUAACAGCUUUGAAAUGUGUAUACCCAUUGCUGCUUUGAAAACAAGGCCAAAACAGCAUUUUAUUUUUACUGAACAUUAUUAGAGAGCUCUCCACUAAGCCUGUCCAGAACUUUUGUAUUAUUUGAGAUGAAACAAGAAGAGGAAGCUUCUUCUCUAGAAAUUUUGUACUAGUGAGGUUUUUUUAUUCAGCUGAACCCAAAAGCAGAAUUUGGAUCAGAGGUUUUAUUGUAAAAUCUCCAUUACUUCCUGUAGAUUUUCCUAUUGCUGUGCAGCCCAAUUGAGCAGAUGGUAUUAUUCAUCUAUUUUUCUUCUUUGAACUGUGACUGUAACUGUCAUUUGUCUUCUGACAGUCUUAUCUUCCUGUUUUUGGUGGGGUUUUUUUUGUUUGUUUUGUUUUGGUUUUUUUUUUUUUUUCCUAAAAUAUUUGGUGAUCUGGUCAAAAGCAUGCUGAGAAAUCGUUACGUGUUACUACCCUGGGUAAAUUGCCUUCCAAAUUCUGCAGGUGAAUUUCAUCUCUAAUCAGAUUCCUGCUGCAUGACAUCAGCUGCAUAGAAUUCAAAUCAAUACAAAAGUCCUCUUGCAGGUUUGAGCUCCCUCUGAAGGAUCAGCCAUUUCAUUUAGCUGCUGUGUACUUAUUGCUGGAAUAUACCUGGGAUGGUUUGAGUGACAGUCUUCAUUUCUGGUUCGAAGGCCUCAAAGCACCAGGAGGGCAAUGCAGCCCUCACUGCCCACGAGAGCUGACAAGUGCUGAUGACUUGAAGGCUGUGACAAUACAGUCCUGUCUGACAUUAAUCUGGGGCUGGGAGUGAGAGCUGUUCCUGCCUCCUCAUGACCUCCAUUAUUCACCGGCUGAGUGACUGCAGUGCUGACAAUCCAUGCUCAUCCACACCAGCCCACGCCAGGCAGUCAGCAGGAAGAUGCAAAGACAGAUUUAACAAGGCAGUUCCUUGCCAAUCAUCAUGUGCAUUAAAGAAGAUGGGACAGAAUGAAGAAUGAAAAUCCUAAGGGAAUCCUAAACAGAGAGACAUAAAUAGGAGUUUAAAGGGUGAAUUGCAUCAUUUGCCCUGCUUACAGGUACCUACUCGGGCAGCAAAAUGUUAUUGCCUGCUGAACCCAGCUUCUGCUUAAUUCUGCCAACUGGCAAAAUGUUUAUUAUCCCACGUUUAAUACAUGUCACUGCAGACCCGGACUGCUAAAUGGGUGCCUUCUUCUGGAUUGGACUCAAAGUAAGCACGGACCAAGGUACAAAAAUAAUCAAAACAAGUUGCUAUUGAAUAGGAUUUGCAAGUGAGGAUUCUUGCAAGCAGAAGGCUGAGGCUGAAAAGUGAAAGCUGCAGAGGCUUUCUGACUUUUUAAGAGAAAAACACUGCCUCAUCUUUUCUCCUGAUACACACUGGUACUCUCUCUGCUCCUCUGCACCUGCAGAAAUGGAUGGAUGCUCCAAGUCUGUUCUGUUUCUCUUGGAAGAACUGUGCUAGACAGCUCAGCAGUCUGCAGGUGCCAGCCAGAGCAUGUCUUGCCAAGCAAAGGAGACUGCUUUGUGCCUCUGAAGGAAGGCUCAGGGGCAGGUUUUGCACUGGAGAACUUAUCUACAACAUAGAGUUCUUCCUACGUAAGACAGACAAAUCAUAAGCCAUGCAUCAAAUACUGGUUCAGGGGAGCUCAACGAGUCCUCUCAGAUGAAUACAAAAUUCACCUAAAAAUGGAUUUCCAGAAGAACUGACAAGUUGGUUGGUGUGACACAUGGACUUUUUGCAGGUGGGUAAGGGGCAAGAAAGGACAACGAGAAAGGACACGGCCAAUUCUUAUGUCAGUGUUCUCAAACUGCAACCUUUCUGUUUUGUUUCUUUGCCUCCUAAAUGGCAUUUUUACCUCAUUAAAAUUAAAGUAGAUUUUAAUAUUAAAACAGCUGUUAAAUAAUGUGAAAACAGAAUAAGUUCACCCAGAUUAAAAAUGUAUAUAUGUAUCCUUUUUUUUUUUUUUUUUCUUUGCUCCAUUUCUCCAGAUUCUUCCAGGUCAACUCUAACAAAAUCUUUCCCCUACCUCUGGUCUGUCCAUUACUAGGCCAUGAUUUAUUUAGCUCUAAGCCUAUGCUUAAAGGUGCGUCUGAAGCUUUUUCCAACUGCUGAUAUCACAGCGCUGACACUAUGCUGUGACUCUCCUCUGUGACCCUCGUGCUUUCAAAUGUCCCCUGCCUCAGACUUCUAAAGAAUAAAGAAAUAGCUGUGGUUAGUUUGCUAGGUCAAAAGCAGCCCAGCUGAAAACAGACACUUACGUUCCCCCCUAGCUAUGCCUGCAUCUGAAAUCAGGGGAUUUUCUUUUCAAGUUUCGUCAGCUUUCCAACUCUUUCAAGAAAGAGAUCGAAAGGGGAAAGAAAGGAGAGAGGACUGUAAACCUUAAUGUGCAUACAGCUGUGACAGGGAGCAAAUGCAGGGAAAAUUCGCACUGCAGUUGGCGUGUCCUCCUGCAGCCCAGGCUGAAGCAACCCCUGUGGCUGCUGUGCUGUUGGCGGGUGUUCAGUGCAUCGCAGCUGAAGAUGCUCAUGUGAACCCAUGGGAAUCUGUUCUGCCAAGUUCCUCGUAGCUCUGCUCGGUUCGGUCUCAUUUUUAUUUAAUGCUCUUCUCUCCCCUACUGUGGUUUGGUGCGGCUCAUUUCUGCAGCUUCCAUGAAGAUGCAAGGGUGAGAAGUAUUGCGGAGUUAAGAGAAGAGAAAGUCUCUCCAUCUCUCUGUCGUCCUGCUCAGACCCGAGAUUUAGACAAGGAAGAAUGGAAGAUUCGCUCAAAGGCGGCCUGAGAGUCUGCUGAGAAAGGAUGAGCCACAGCAGAGGAGGAGGAGAUUCAAGAAGGAAACAACAACCCAAGAGCAAGGAGGUUGUGAAUCAGCCAAACCUCUGGGAGACAUCAUGCACAGAGGAGGAGACACCAAGACUCCAUGCUCAGGAAAACUGAUAUACUUCUGAGACAAAUAUGGUGAGAAAGGCAGCAACACUAUCUUCUAACACCAAAGUUGCAAAUCUAUUCUGGUGAAGCUAAGUGAAAAAUGAAGCAAACUGAUUUCAGAGACAUAUACGUAGGCCUAUGGAGAAAGCCCCAAGCAUAAAAACUAGCUCUCAGCACGAAACAUGGGUAGCAAUUGCCUUUGAUUACUAACAGCAGGUUUUUCAGUCUAUGGACAAACGUGUAGAUUAUGAGCAAUUUUCUGAGGCAUCUAAAUCAGCAUAUUCAGAUAGAAACAAAUUUUUGAUGCUAUGGCAUCACAGCUACAGUCCAAAUUACAUUGCGCAGAUGUACAUGUAAAUAUCUUACUUGCACUAAAGGCAGCUCAGAAAAAUCAGGGAAUCUGACAUCUCCCCUGAGAUUUUUAAGAUAGUUCAAAUGAUAAAAUAAGUAAGUUCCUCAGAAACAAGAUGGGUGUUGGUGACAGUUUGUACAUUCAGCACAACAAAUAAUCAGCUGCUAUGAAUUUGGAUAACCCUGUUAAAGCCAACAGAACAGAAACAGUUUUUAUCAAGUUACAGCUAGUCCAGAGCACAUACAUGAGACUUGUACAUAACAAUACUGCAGAUAUAUGGAGAAACUGUAAUGCAGACAGCAGCUUUAUAGUGGGCUUUCAUAUGCCUAUAUACUUCUAAACUGUAUGUGUAACUACAUUCUUGUCAGUUCUUCAGCCUUUUCAGAUGGAUAUGUUACUUCUCUCUAACGUGUCAGUUUUCUGACUAACCUGUCAUAACAAUCUAUGACACCACUCUCUAACAGCUUACCACUGCUUUACAUGAAAUGUGAGGGUUUGUCUGCAGUCACACAUAGGAAUCAUAUUCCAAAAUAAGAGUGUGGGGGAGACGUCUGUAAGUAUAGAUGUAAGCGCAUACGUAUGUAUACGUAGACAGACACACAGAUCCAAAAUAUCUGCCUGUGAAUCAUUGGAAUUACAAUCACAGAGAAUGAAGCAGCACAAGAUGGGAUAUUUCUCCUGAGAUGGGAUAUUUCUCCUGAGCUGCACACUGUUUCUCAGCUUUGUGGAAAACUCCUUUUAUGCUGUGACCACAAAUGAUGCACCAUCAGUGGAGUGAUACCGUGUUGCUGAGAAAUAAACUGCUUGUUUGAAUGGACUUUGCAUUCGUUAUAGAAAAGGAACAACUCCAGUUUUAGAUAGAUUCAUUUAUUUGCUUUGCGCUGUUUCCAUGACUCAUAAUCCUUUUAAUAAAUCAAACUAAAGAACAUAACAUCAAAUCAGAGAAUCAUAGAAUCUUUAGAGUUGGAAGGAAUGCUUACAGGCCAAAGAGGUGCAAGGAGGUACAGGUUCUUGAUUUGAGUCCCUCUGGAACACUUGAAAACAUAAAAAUUGUUCAAAAUAUCAUCUUUCCAAAUUAAUAUGUGUUCUUGUUCUGUAUUGUGCACACCGACAUGACAUGAUUCCUGGAAUUUCCUGCUGAUAGAACAUUUUUCCAAAGAUGAGAAGACAUCCAAAACUUUACAUUAGCAUAGUUUAAAUUCACAAGUCCAUGGCCUCAGCCUACAGACAAUGAUGCCCCAGUCUCACUUGCAGCUAUUUCCAUUAGACGAGUGUGGCUGAUGGGUCAGAAUGGAAAAACUCAUGGGAAAAAAGACAACUUAAAAUCCAAAAGAUAAUGUUGGAGGUUUUAUCUGUGCUUCUGACAAUACACAGCUGUUAACUCUACUAAUCUGGGCUUUCUCUAAGGGCUGGCAGGGAAUUCAACAUAACCAAAUCUACUCUCUCUGAGGUGCGGGAACUUUCUGGAGCUUAUAAUGAAAGUCUGGAUGCUCAUGGAAAUCAAAGCUGCAUGCUCCUGCCCACAGAAGAGACAGGCAGCAUUGCCACUGCCCUGUGGCCCCAGAAAUAGAAUGGAAAUCUUUGAGGGACCUAAGAGAGAGGACUACAGCGAACACACAAUCUGUGUUUCCUGUAAACUUCUUCAUUUUCCCUCCAUCCUACUUUCAAAUGAAAACAGUCCCUACUGUUCUGAUGUAGGGGAGAAGUCUUUCCUGAUACAUAGCUUAACCUUAAAUGCUUAAAAGAGAAGGCAAACAGGUCCCAGAAAGGCUUAUCUGCAUCACAGAGGACACUAGUACCUCCUACCCCUCUCUUUCCAGUUGAAACUUAUCUUGGAUGUUUCAGAAAAAAAAGAUGAAGAGAAAGAGAAAAACAGCCAAGCAUUGUGUAAGGAGGUGUGAAACGUGUUUCUGGCCUUUACUUUCAUUCUGUGCUACCAUCUCAAAAUCUUUUCCUUGUUUCUGGGCAUCCUGUGUGACCCUUGUAAUUACAGUGAAUGUCUCUCAGGCAACAUUAACCCCUGCCCUGAUCCAUCUCUAACAAGGAUUGCAUUAAAAACUUCACUGUGUCUGCAGCUAUUUAAUCAUUCAUCACCUGGAAAGUGGUACUGCUCUACUGCUCUGUGACUGUGGCCAUUAGUGGUGACAAGCAAGGUCUUCCUGAAAUUAAGAAUAUGACAGUAUGAGCUGGCUUAGAUUCGGCCUUUUACAGAUACAUCCAAUAAUGAAAACUCCUUCACAUCGGUACUGUCCAAAGCCCGCUGACGUCAGUGGAGAGAUCUGAUCUCAGUGGGCUUUAAAUCAGACUCUAUAGCUAAGGCUUCCAAAGCAGCUGGGGGGAUUCAGGCACGUAUCUUUCAUUAAAGUGAGGGUAUAUUAAAGCAAAUGGAAGAUAUGUGUCUGAAAUCCCCUAGACUGCUUUGAAAAUCUAAAAUACUGUGCAAGCUGUACAGCUUUCUCUAUAAAAAUAGCUGCCAAAUCUAGCUUUGGUAAAGGCAAUAGAACUGCAUUAAAAGAUCCGCAGAAAGGCCUGGUCCCUCUGAUCCUUUAGGAAAACAGAGAGAAGGAUGGCCAGAGUGCUUUAUUUUCAGCUUUAAACCGUUCCCACGUCAAAGACAUUUGCUCGAGCAAUUUAUGGGAAUGGCAUAGUAGCCAAAAGAAAAGUAAUGCUACUCUUGUCUACGUAGAUGUCACACUUAUAUGGCUCAUCAAGCUGGGAUCAGGACUGCAACAUCUCUCGUGGACAUUAAGGAAUAUUUGAUGUGGGUUUCUCCAUGAGCCUAUGUGCAAGGCUGAUCUGGUUGCAAAUUCAUGUUGAUAAGGCUGAGCCCAAGACAGCACCACCAUCAUUCCAGCAGCUCCUCUCAGGAGAAGUCUUGGUACAGACCCUUCUCCUCCUGUCCAACUUUCAUGGGGACACAGCACUGUACCUCUCAGCCCCACGUAAGAACUCCCUCUGUUUUCCGAGAAGCAGUGAGGCAAGCCUUCUUUCCUAUAGCCCACAAUGACAAUCUACUUAUUAUUCAGACACAGCCUCGCCUAAUUACCUUGUUAUUUUGUGGCAGGCUAGAACAAGGUAGCACCAUUAAGUCAAGUGUCUUCAUUUUAGCCAUCCACUGCCUUCAUUCUUGAUUUAGAAGGCAGUGGCACAAGAGUGCUCUCAGUCACACACAUCCCAUACAGCUCAGGUUGUCGUGCCACUAGCUUACCUUGGUUGUGUAUCUGCUUAUAGACUUUUUUCUUUAUUUCUUGCAUUUUUGGACCACCAAGAACAAGUUACAUUCUGUUAGAGUGACAAAGAGUAAUUGUAUUUUACGUGUUAUUUCUUGAUGGUAGAGGUACUUCAAACCUCAGAUUGAUUCCAGAUGUCAAUUAUCAGAAAGUUUGAUGCAGUCAGCUCAGGGUGUCCAAUUCUGACCUGUCUCCUGCAAACACAAUCAAAACCUUAUUAUAAGACUCAGAGCUCAGACAAAUGAUAAGCCAAGUCCAGGGAUCUGCCCAUAGUUCAUAUUUUUAGUGCAGGAAGAAUUGACUCAAAGGGAAAAUUGAUGUACAAGAAGAUGUGAUAAAGCUGACGUCCAGAUAGCAUUUGCUCUGCUGAAAUUUUACAACCUGAGCAAGACAAUCUGUGAAAGAGGUAAUUGAGCAUUUGAAAAGCACCUGUUAAUGACGGGUAAGAUAACAACCCCGAGGAACCACCUGUCAGGGCAGGUGAUGAACUCUCCCUCUGAUCUGUUUCUUACUACAGUUUUCUCCAGUGAAACUGGUAGCACAUUCACAUGUCUUUCUAGAGAAAGUUCAUAAUAACAGAGGAUUUAAAUAAACAGAAGAUUGAUUUUAAUGGAAGGUGAAUCAUUUGUAUUUCUUUUUUCUUUUCUCGUGCAGCUGAAAUGUUUUAUCUAGCUUAGAUUAUGAGGAAUGUAAAUAAAUUUAUGUUGAAUGUUAAAUAAACAUUUGCUUUCUUUUUUCCAAUUUCCUUUUCUCUUUCUCUUUUUAAUAAAUCUUAUUUGGGAUGA